CAGCAUUUCUAGCUUGCUAGAAGAUGGCGACCGGCGCACGGGUGCGUAACGCGUAUACAAUCUACCUAUUACUGAGGUAUAGCCCGAAGAAAUUUGGAUUAACCCCUCAUAGUAUUAUAGAGUCGCAUGAUUUUAUAAUUAAAGGUUACGGUAAUAGAUGAGUAUGCGUCCUAUUAGCUAGAUGGUAAGGUAACGGCUUACCAUGGCUACGAUAGGUAGGGGUCCUGAGAGGGAGAUCCCCCACACUGGUACUGAGACACGGACCAGACUCCUACGGGAGGCAGCAGUGAGGAAUAUUGGACAAUGGGCGAGAGCCUGAUCCAGCCAUGCCGCGUGCAGGAAGACGGCCCUAUGGGUUGUAAACCGCUUUUGUACGAGAAGAAAUCUUUAUACGUGUAUAAAGUUGACGGUAUCGUAAGAAUAAGCACCGGCUAACUCCGUGCCAGCAGCCGCGGUAAUACGGAGGGUGCAAGCGUUAUCCGGAAUCAUUGGGUUUAAAGGGUCCGUAGGCGGGAUAAUAAGUCAGUGGUGAAAUGCAGGGGCUUAACUCCGGCACUGCCAUUGAUACUGUUGUUCUUGAAUUAUUGUGAAGUGGUUAGAAUAUGUAGUGUAGCGGUGAAAUGCUUAGAUAUUACAUAGAA
rnacentral:rRNA from 1 species